GCCUGGCUGGUUCAGUUGGUAGAACAUGCGACUCUUGAUCUUGGGGUUGUGAGUUUGAGCCCCAUGUUGGGUG
rnacentral:tRNA from 1 species